GGGACGCGGCAGCCCAACCCGGAGGGCUGGGACCGGGAGGAGGGGAGGCCGGGGCAGGAAAUCGUGAGUAUGUCACCGAGCUGCCGGACGGGAGGCCGAUCUCUUCCAGGCCAGGACUGGGGAUUGCUCCGCGCUGUGAGUUUGCUGUGAGGCUUUCUCCCUCACUGCACUUGGGCGCGCGGGAGGAAGAAGAGGUGCUUCUGCGGGUGGCUCUCCGCGCAGCUGCGUCCCGCUGCGGGCUCGGGUCGCCCGGGCUGCGUGGGGGUGAGGAAAGGUUCGGGAAAUCUGCGUCCCGUAGUUUGCUGCAGCGAGGGUCGCAACACAUCUGCCCUUUGAAAGAACUUUCCGAGCGCCCACCCCGUCCUCGAACCCGGGGCGCCAGGGACGCUGCGGAACAGGUGACACGGUCCGAGGGCGCGACAGGGGACUCCGGAAAGGAAAGGACCCGCGGGUGGACUGGCAGGAGUCAGACCACAGCUAGUGGCUGCAGUUCCCGAGCCUGCACUAGCGGUGCAGAAGGGUUUGCCCAUCGCUGUCCCGCAUCGGCAGAGGGGGUUCCGGCGGAGGGGGUCCGGGAACACAGCCGCGGGGGCGCGCGGGAGCAGGGCUUCGCCAUUAAGAGGCGCCGCCGGCUUUUCACAAUCGAUAGUUAUCGAAGCAAUGGGUGGAUGCUUACUUUGGAAAAAAUGAAUGUCCUCCCCCGCCUCUCCCUGAUACUGAGCAACAGGAGGAAGCCACCCACAGCCUUGGGUCGACUUACCGCUGGGCUCUGCCCACCUCCAUCGCCGGCUCCGCCCCGCCGCCCACGGGUCCGCGCACCGGAGACCUGAUCACCCUCCCCACCUGUCCGUGGCUCGCGGCACCCGUGGAGCCCUGAAAGCCACCCUGACCGGCCGACCUGUGAGCUGAGACUCUCCUGUUACACACCCGAAGUCCUAGACUAGUCCCCACUCUUCCCUGUAUCAGACCAGCAUCCUGAGAGUGGGGACCAACUGCCAGGAGGCACUAUGAGCCCAGGCGUGGGUGUAGGAAAGGCAGGCUCAGGAACCAGGCAGCACAGGGCCAGGCGCUGUGCCAAAGGCCCUACAUAUAUUAUUCCCCUUCAUCCUCAUAGCAUCUAGCCAGGUGGUUAUUAUCUCCAUUUUACAGAAGUCCUGAGAGGCUAAGUGCCUUGCCCACGCCUCACAGCAGGGAGUAGCCAAGGGCAGAGUGAUUCCCUUCCCACUGCGUGGUACCCCUCAGCCUUUCACAGGGCAGCUGUGGUCAACACCUUUGGGUGGGGAAGAGAUGAGGCAGGCAAAGAGGAAAGGCCGCGUUACCAAGAUGCCUGUGUAUGAGGAUUCCUGUGUGUGUGUGUGUGUGUGUGUGCGCGCGCGUGCGUGUGUGCGUGCAAGGGCCACCUCCUUUGUGUAGGCAUAUGUGGAUAUAACCAAUAAACAUGAGCCUUCUGCUGCCUCUAUGCUUCUGUGGCAAUGAAGCACCAAGAUUUUGUUUCACAUGGGGGGCUUGUGGAUCUCCUUACAUCAUUUUAAAGUUUCAGUGUGUUUGUAUGUAUCUAAGUAUAUCUGCAAAGCUGAGGGGUAGGGGGUGCUGACCUUGACACUUUACUGUCUCAAAAUCCCAGGAAUUAACAUGCUCUCCCCACCCCACCCUCAGAUCUAUUCUGCACGUUGAUGUUGAAGGGAAGAAGGAAGCUUAGAGAAAGAAGAGGGACAAGAGGAGGGAGGAGACACUCCAGAAGAGUUGGUGCUUGAGUGGGUUGACCUUUGUCUCUACAAGGAAUGAGGCGUUCAUCUGUGGACCUGUAUCUCUGCAAGCUGGAUGAGUUUGUAACAGAGGACAGUAGAGGAAGUGGGACUUCUUGGAGUAUUCAUGUGUGUGUCUCCUUGUGUUGAGAUGAUAAGGGCUGCUUCCUCCUCAGUGGCCUUCCCUUCUCGAACUUGUGAAAAAUCCCUGUGAGAGGUACCUUAUUAAAGUCAAGAGCCUGGACUCUGGGAUGAGAAAGACCUAGAUUCCCUUCUCUACCUUUGGGCAAGCUAUUUAACCUCUCCAAGCCUAUUUCCCCCUCUGCAAAAUGGGGAUGACAUUUAGUACCACAAGGAGGAUUAAAUAAAAUAUCACAUGAAGGGGCACCUGGGAGGCUCAGUCACUUAAGCGUCCGACUAUUGAUUUUGGCUCAGGUCAUGAUCUCAUGGUUUGGUGUGUGAGAUAGAUCCUCAUGUAGGGCUCUGCGCACACACACUC